rnacentral:rRNA from 1 species
UACGGAGGGUGCGAGCGUUGUCCGGAAUCACUGGGCGUAAAGGGCGCGUAGGCGGCGCGAGCAGUCGGCGGUGAAAGCCCGGAGCUCAACUCCGGGUCGGCCGUCGAUACUCUCGUGCUUGAGCACUGUAGAGGCAGGUGGAAUUCCGGGUGUAGCGGUGGAAUGCGUAGAGAUCCGGAAGAACACCGGUGGCGAAGGCGGCCUGCUGGGCAGUAGCUGACGCUGAGGAGCGAAAGCGUGGGGAGCGAACAGG